rnacentral:rRNA from 1 species
UGGGGAUGACGUCAAGUCCUCACUGGCCCUUAUGGGUAGGGCUUCACACGUCAUACAAUGGUCGGUACAGAGGGUUGCCAACCCGCGAGGGGGAGCUAAUCCCACAAAGCCGAUCGUAGUCCGGAUUGCAGUCUGCAACUCGACUGCGUGAAGUCGGAAUCGCUAGUAAUCGUGGAUCAGCAUGUCACGGUGAAUACGUUCCCGGGUCUU